rnacentral:rRNA from 1 species
AGAGUUUGAUCAUGGCUCAGGACGAACGCUGGCGGCGUGCUCUAAUACAUGCAAGUCGAACGAACUCUGGUAUUGAUUGGUGCUUGCAUCAUGAUUUACAUUUGAGUGAGUGGCGAACUGGUGAGUAACACGUGGGAAACCUGCCCGGAAGCGGGGGAUAACACCUGGAAACAGAUGCUAAUGCCGCAUAACAACUUGGACCGCAUGGUCCGAGCUUGAAAGAUGGCUUCGGCUAUCACUUCUGGAUGGUCCCGCGGCGUAUUAGCUAGAUGGUGAGGUAACGGCUCACCAUGGCAAUGAUACGUAGCCGACCUGAGAGGGUAAUCGGCCACAUUGGGACUGAGACACGGCCCAAACUCCUACGGGAGGCAGCAGUAGGGAAUCUUCCACAAUGGACGAAAGUCUGAUGGAGCAACGCCGCGUGAGUGAAGAAGGGUUUCGGCUCGUAAAACUCUGUUGUUAAAGAAGAACAUAUCUGAGAGUAACUGUUCAGGUAUUGACGGUAUUUAACCAGAAAGCCACGGCUAACUACGUGCCAGCAGCCGCGGUAAUACGUAGGUGGCAAGCGUUGUCCGGAUUUAUUGGGCGUAAAGCGAGCGCAGGCGGUUUUUUAAGUCUGAUGUGAAAGCCUUCGGCUCAACCGAAGAAGUGCAUCGGAAACUGGGAAACUUGAGUGCAGAAGAGGACAGUGGAACUCCAUGUGUAGCGGUGAAAUGCGUAGAUAUAUGGAAGAACACCAGUGGCGAAGGCGGCUGUCUGGUCUGUAACUGACGCUGAGGCUCGAAAGUAUGGGUAGCAAACAGGAUUAGAUACCCUGGUAGUCCAUACCGUAAACGAUGAAUGCUAAGUGUUGGAGGGUUUCCGCCCUUCAGUGCUGCAGCU